AUUAGGAUACGCUUAAUUUUCGAUAAAAUUGGAACGAUACAAAAAAGAUUAGCAUGGUCGUUAGACAAAGAUGACUAAUAAUUUUUAUAUAAAAAGUGAAUUUUA
rfam:Beta vulgaris subsp. vulgaris chromosome 4, whole genome shotgun sequence.